AGCUAUAUGAGGGGCGGACAAAGGCGGCGGCGAGGCCCUGCAGUUCGCCGCCAUUUUGCGCAGCGGGCUCUGAGGAGCGGCAGCCGCAUCCGGAGCACUUCUCCUCUCUUCACCAUCACCAUGUCGCGGGAUCGGUUCCGUAGCCGUGGCGGCGGUGGAGGCGGCUUCCACCGGCGCGGCGGAGGCGGUGGCCGCGGAGGCCCCAAUCACGAUUUCCGCUCUCCGCCGCCCGGCAUGGGCAUGGGCCAGAACCGGGGCCCUAUGGGGGGCGGCCCGCAGGGCCCGGGCGGCCCGCCGGGAGGAGGCCCGAAGCCUGAGCCUCCGAAGCCGCCCGCGUCGACCUCUGCUCCACCUUCCUCGUCUUCUUCGUCAGCCGCCACCACAGCGGGGCCCGCCGGCAGCCAGGCCGGCCCCGGAGCGCCUCCGUCGUCCGCGCUGCCUUCGGGGCAGACGCCGCAGCAGCAGCCCCCGGUGUCGACACCUUCCUCGACUCCUUCCGGCCCGGGUGGGCAGGCGCAGCCCAAGCCGAGCCCCAGCCCUACCCCGGCUGGCGGCCCUAAGAAAGGACAAGGACAGUCGCCCGGCGGCGGGCCCAAGGGACCGGGUGGCCCGCAGCAGGGGCCCGGCGGGCCGCACAAGGGCGGGCCGGGGCACCGCGGCGGACCGGGCGGAGAGCAGCGCGGCCGCGGCCAGCAGCACCAGGGACAGCAGAGCCUUUCCUCGCAGCAGGGUCCGGCCGGCGGCGGUGAAAAGCUCUCGGACGAGGGAUUUAAAGCAAACCUCUCUCUGCUGAGGCGACCCGGGGAGAAGACCUAUACUCAGCGUUGCCGCUUGUUUGUUGGGAAUUUGCCUGCUGAUAUAACAGACGAAGACUUUAAAAGACUGUUUGCCAAAUAUGGGGAGCCAGGAGAGGUUUUUAUCAACAAGGGGAAAGGCUUUGGAUUCAUUAAAUUGGAAUCCAGAGCUCUUGCAGAAAUUGCGAAGGCAGAACUGGAUGAUACCCCCAUGAGGGGUCGCCAGCUUCGUGUUCGGUUUGCCACCCAUGCUGCUGCUCUCUCAGUGCGUAAUCUUUCACCUUAUGUGUCCAACGAGUUGCUGGAGGAAGCGUUUUCCCAGUUCGGUCCAGUGGAAAGAGCGGUUGUGAUUGUAGAUGAUCGAGGUAGAUCAACAGGAAAAGGCAUUGUUGAGUUUGCGUCAAAGCCAGCGGCAAGAAAAGCCUUUGAACGGUGUACCGAGGGAGUGUUUUUGUUGACAACCACUCCUAGGCCAGUUAUUGUGGAACCGUUGGAACAGCUGGAUGAUGAAGACGGUCUUCCAGAAAAGCUUGCUCAGAAGAAUCCAAUGUAUCAAAAGGAAAGAGAGACUCCUCCCCGCUUUGCUCAGCCUGGCAGUUUUGAAUUUGAAUAUUCCCAGAGGUGGAAAUCUUUAGAUGAAAUGGAAAAACAACAGAGAGAGCAAGUAGCAAAAAACAUGAAAGAUGCCAAGGACAAACUUGAAAGUGAGAUGGAAGAUGCUUAUCAUGAGCAUCAGGCAAACCUCUUGCGUCAAGACCUCAUGAGGCGUCAGGAAGAGUUGAGACGUAUGGAAGAACUCCAUAAUCAAGAAAUGCAGAAGCGCAAGGAAAUUCAGCUGAGGCAGGAGGAGGAGCGUCGCAGGCGAGAGGAGGAGAUGAUGAUACGUCAGCGGGAGAUGGAGGAACAAAUGAGAAGACAGAGGGAAGAGAAUUACAGUAGAAUGGGGUACAUGGAUCCAAGGGAGAGAGACAUGAGGAUGGGUGGUGCCACCACAAUGAACAUGGGAGAUCCUUAUGCUUCUGCAGCCCAGAAAUUCCCACCUCUUGGAGGUGGUGGCGGCAUAGGUUAUGAAGCUAAUCCAGGAGUUGGCCAACCAGCCAUGAGUGGUUCUAUGAUGGGAAGUGACAUGCGUCCUGAGCGCUUUGGGCAGGGAGGUGCGGGGCCUGUGGGUGGCCAGGGUCCUAGAGGAAUGGGGCCUGGAACACCAACAGGAUAUGGUAGAGGGAGAGAAGAAUAUGAAGGCCCAAACAAAAAGCCCCGAUUUUAGAUGUGACCUGUAGUUUCAUUCCAGUUUGUUUUUUGUCUGUCUUGUUUAGACACCAACUUUUUAAUUCUUGCAUUUUAGUAAGAAAGCUACGUUUUUAUGGAUGUUAGAAAACUUACUGACCUAAUAUUUGUAAGUGGUCUGUUUGGGCGAGUACAAUUUAAUUAUGUAAUGCAGUGUUUCAAAACAAACUUAGCUGUUUUUUUUGAUGUAUAACGUCCCUAACUUGAUGGCAGUGUACCUUGUGCCACUGAAUUCCCAAAGUGUACCAACUUUUUUUUACUGUGCUUCAAAUAAAUAGAAAACUAAAUGUAGUAGCUCUUCUUGCCAUUCGUGGUUAAACAUAAUGAGGCAAAAAACCACACCUUCCGCAGUAAACUGAGAGUCUUGAGCAGAGGUCAAACUAGACCAGGGUGUGGAACUGCAGGGAAGAGUGAGAUCUCUUCCCAAAACGCCUCUCUCUUAAGAUUGGGUCAAAUAGUAGCCUAACUUCGCAGUAGGUGCAGAUCUUUUUUUGAGCCAUUAAUUGUGCUGCAAUAAGGAAGCAAAUGGAAAUCUUGCAAGUGCUGCAAGAUGCUCUAAAUCAAGCUACACUGCAAGCAGUGCAGUAUGUAAUCAUGUUUCUAUUUUAGCUCUGGAUAAUGGGUGGUGGGAUGGUAGCACUUACCACCUUGGCAGUUACUGCUUGGAAUCUUUUAAAGAAUUUAAGCAGAAGACUAGCAAUGGUUAUUUUAAACUAAAUUGAUAGAAUGACUUGUAUUGGCUGACUUCCGAACUAAAGGAUUGUUAAUGUGAUAUUUAUAUGCUCUUAAGCUGUCCUGAGAUUACAGGAUCUGGCCUUGCUUCGUAUUGUAUACUUACCUGAAACUGCUUGGCAAAAAGACCAGAAGUGUUACUGUAGUGAUGAAGGUUAACUUGCUUAUGUCCUCAUGGUAACUGAGUAUAGACUACUUUGCCUAGUUCAGAAUACAAUCAUUUGUUUUAUGGGGACUGCAGGAACUAUUCUUAAAUCGUGUAGCUGGUGGGCAAAGCCUAAAAACCUCUAUGUAAAAUACAGCAAUCAGCUUGCUUGCAUGAUGGUUAUUGCUCUUAUUAUUGAUGUUUGGAGAUAAUGCAUCAAAAGUAGUAUCUGAAUCUGGAGUUUCAAGAGUUAAUACUUCGCAGUACGAAUAAACUCCCUUUAAGGUUUUCUUGUAGAAGAUCUGAUGAAUUCGCUAGCUUGCUGCUCAUUUUAUUAAGCCCCAGAAGAAUUUCAGAGCGUUCUGGACUCAUUGAUAAGGUAGUUUCUUUGGUUAUUAUUACAUUGUACCAGCUAAGCUGGGAACCUGACUUCCCAGUGUAAAAGACCUUGGUGUUAAGCAGGUUGACGCAUCCUGCAUUGGCACAAAGUAGGUAAACUUAGUUUGGCUGUACCUUCACAUGAUUCCCCAACUACUGAGCAUUCUGUGAGUAGCUUUAAUUCCUUCCCAAGAUCUUUCCCAUUCCUUGUGCUGAGCAUUGGCUAAUUCUAAAUUCUAUACUAAAUUUUCUCCGUGGUUAAAACUUGGUUUCAGAUUGCAGUAUUUUAGAGUGCAGGUGAUCCCUCUUGAAGUACUUGCUGCAAGUGCUAUUACUCCUUAACUGAAAAAAAUAGCCUGUUGGGAACUGUUGAUACCAGGUAACACUGACUUGAAAUAUCAAGUGCACUAAAGAGUGACUCAGCUUGUUUGGUGAAUGCUGCUUAUUUUCCCAGAAAAGUUUGGGGGUUGAUAACAACGAAUUGCUCUUCAGGAAAUACCCAAUUGGCAGUUCCUAAAUGGCAUAGCAGGUAUUUGGGAGUACUUGUACUUGAUACGUAGUUUAAAAAUCAGCAGUACCGAUGCAAUUUGCUUUACUGAAGUAGUAUUAACCAAUGCUUGUGUGUUGUGGAGGGUGUUCGUGGGACACCCACAGAAGGUGAAGGUGUCUGAGAUGGGGAAUUCUGAACAUAAACAUUAAAUUAAUUUUUUCAGUUUAUUUUUCAGAUUACAUGUCAUUCUUUAUUAAAGAGAUGCCGGUGCAUAUCCUAAAGUAUGUUCUUUUGUAGUUCUGUAACUUGGAAGAGUGAAGGAUGCUGAUGUCCUUGUACCUUACAGAGGUUGUCUUUUGGUACCCCUGUAUUAUACGUAAGCUCCCGUUGCUAGGUAUUAAAAAUAGCUGAGUUGCAAAACCAUGAUGAGUAACUACUGAAAGAUUUGGCAGUUUUCAAAACAUCUGAAAGUUGGGCUAAAUCUAGCUUUGUUGGAGCUGCAGAAGCAGAACUUCUAAAACAAGUUCUGCUUUGAGUUGCAUGUAUUAAAAAGGCAUACAAUUAACUAGCCAACUUCUUUUUCAAGCCUUUUUUUUAAGGUGGUGUCUUAAAAGCUGGCAAACAUGUCAACUUUAAAAUCUGCUAAAUGUGGGAGGUGAGAAAGUUAUGUUCCUUUGAUCUGUUCCUCUGAGGUUUUGGACUUUUUUCAUAAAACCAGAUUUAUAUAAUUGAAUCUUUAAAACCGUUUAGAAAAGUGCUUUGUUGGCCAGAUCUGUUUUUGGACAGUCUGGAUCACGUCACACAUUUUUGUACUGGACUUGGAGGACAUUGGCUGUUGCAAUUUAGCUUGCUUAAUCAAAUUUGUGAGCCCAUUUUGACACUUAGAUUUCUAAAAACUGCAGCAUGUAGAAAGUGGUAUCGUUAUACAGAGAUCUUCACACUUUGAUCAGAAAUGAAUGCAGAAUAAUCUUUUAUCUUCUGGUGUAGACACAUGACACUAAUCAUUUAUACAGCUGAUGAGAAACUGCAACUGCUUUUCAGAUUUUGUGGUAUUUUUGUGGUAGAAAAAUUCUUGGCUUCUCCUUGGCAACCAUUUACUGUGGCAGCAAGUUUUUGCUGGAGUUUUGAGACUGCAAUUUACACUUAUAACUAGUGGCCUGCUACAUAACUGCACUUAGCCAGCAUUUCUGCAGUUCAUAACUGUGAGGAACGUAGUACCACAAAUGGCAAUGGACAUUAGGACCCGGAUGUAGUAUUCCUGCUUGCUCCAAGAUUCUCAUUGCCGACUGCGUACAGGUAGGUAACAAGCAAUAUAAUCUAACUUGGUGACUUUCUAUGUAAUCUUAUACUGUGGGUAUUCUGACAUCACACUUCUGACUGUGGAAUUACAGUGCAGCACUCUUCAUACCUGUAUGUUAAGCUUGCAUCAAAGCUCUGCGUGGUUUUCGGUUUUAAGCUUUGUCUUGUUCAGAGUCAAUAAGCAACUUACCGUGAUUCUUAGAUAAGUAUUUUCAGACCCGAUUCCUUUGUACAUACGACUCGGCUUGUGUGGAUUUUUCUUAGUUCUGAUGUAACGAAGAUACUCUUGGAUGAGCUCUGUGGGGAAGAGGGAAUGUGAUCUUAAACUCGCUUAACCUAGUCAACAGGAUUGACUGCUCUCUGUGCCUAGAAAAGGACUGUUUAAACUUUCUGCAGUGACAACAUGGCCCAUCUACAGUGCAUCCCUUUGUAGAGUCUUGGCUCACAGGAAAUGCUUUAGUAAUCCCUGCUUUAGCCUUGUGUGCAGUAUGUGAUAGUCACUUUCAACUUGCUAAGAGUCAGCUCUGAGACUGAUUUUUGCAACAUUUUUGAGGACAUACAAAUAAGUGCUUGAACGAUGAUCGCUGUGAGUAGCUUAUAGAGCUUAUUGGACAUCUCAGUUGUCUUUUUGACAAGCAUUCCUCUGCCUUUAACUGACAGUAAUGGGAUUCUGUAUUUCUGCCUUGUGGAGUCAUCUUGGUAGUGUAAUGCUGAAUUUCAUCAUUCUUGGAGAUGUAAUUCUAAACUCUUAAUUACUAGAAACACCGACUUUAGUGCUCCGGAAUUAACAUGCUUGUGUUUCCAGACAUCCAGACAUACUGAUCUCCAGCUCUUUUGCAUUAGCUCUUCAACCUGAAUUUUAAGGUCCCUUGUUUCAGCACAUGAUCUAGCUCUCUUGUCUGAUGUUCAGUUUAUUUCAGAGGUGUUGUAACGUGUUUUCCUGCUUGUUCUGCAAAGUUCUGCCUUGCAUACUUGUUUCUGGUAUUAUUGUCACAUUUGGACCUUUCUGUGUUACCUUCCAGGCAAGACUUGCUGCUUGAAGAGGGAAUCUGCUGGCCAGUCUUGCCCUCUGCUGUGGCUGUCCUUUCAUGUUCCACUGAAAGCUUGAAGUAGCAACUGCACUUUAAGAUAAUAGCAGCAGGUCUUUGGUUACACCAUGGCAAGUGUAGCCCAGCUCCAGCUAGUCAAGCAGUGACAUCACUUGUCACAGAGUCAGUUUGGCUUUUUGUGAUGGCUUACUCUUACCUGUGACUAGAACUGAGAAGCGAAACUGAUGGCAGUAUGUGUACUAUCAUGUAACAAAACUGAAUUAUUGAUCCUUAAGCCAGUGCUCAGAUCUGCCUAGGGUUUUUUUCCAGUGUGCUCUGGAUACUUGACUUGACCUGCAGGAAUGUCGUGGAGGGGUUAUUGGCACAUCUGCCCUGUCCUGCGUACUUGAACUGGCAGGUUUUUGAUACUCUUGGAGCAAGCAGUUUGGGACUGAACCAUGGGUCUCAUACGAGCUCUGACGGCAGUAAUGAAACUUGGUGUGGUAGUUAACUUAAAAGCAAUAGUCAUGUCUGCUCUUAAGUCAGUCUGUAACAAAUGGGUACCAGAAAUGACAUUGAAGUGCUUGCAUUGUGUUUCAUCUUGGUUUUAUCUGUGUGUGAAAUACACUUUUUCUCAAAAGCUUAUCUGAAGCUCAGAAGUGUGGUGUCAGAAUACAUCUGCGUACUGCUAGGCCCUCAGAUCCAGAUACUGGUGCUGUCAGGAGAGAGCACAGGGUGUAUGGGGGCUUCACUGUAACAUUAAGCAUACAAAGUGUUGAUUUGCUUGCAGUUUCCCCCCAUAGCUAAACACUGAGGCCUGUGAGUAGUUUUAGGACUCCAGCAGUAAUGGGGUUGCAUGUCUCUGUUAAUCAUUGCCAGCUGCAGUGACAUGAUCAGGAAGGCCAGUGUUUUGUUUCAUUAUGUUCAAUGAGGCUAAGCAUGUUGGAAAGGACGCAUAAAAAGUAUGCUGUUGUGGGUAAUUCCUUGGCUUCUUCCACUACUAGCAAGUUUGGAAUUAACUAAUUAGCUUCGGAUUUCUUCUCCUCUCCAUACCAGCUAGUGGGGCUGUUAAAUAGCUGCUUACUGGAAAAGGAAAAAAAAGGGAGGAUUGGCCUUCUCCCACCUCUGUCAUUGCUGCUAGAUAAUGAUUGACACGUUAGGACUUGGCUGUGCAGUCCCGCAGUGGUCUGUGAAUACCCCAUCUCUAUAAAUGUUGCUUCUGAACACCAGUACUGAAGAGCUAACGGGGGGGGGUUGGGAGGAGCGUGGCUAGAAGUGAAUCUGGAGUGUUAAAAGGAUGCACAAAGAUAUAGUAUCCCUUAUGCAUGGUGUUUGUUGCUAUAGCAUAGAAAACAAAACGUGCAUACUAUACUUCUGCUCCUGAGGGCCAUGAUAAAACCCAGGUGGUGGGUCUGAGACUAAACUUCUUCCUGCCUGGUCAGAUCACAUUGUGACCAUGGUGUGACUUGCCUCCUAACUAGAGGUGUGUACUGCAUCCCUUGGCUACUCAGCAUUGCAGUUUGCCCUCCUCUUAGCUACAGUAAAAGGCUGGGUCUUAACAGUGGAAGAAUCUGUUGCCGAGGACCAAAGUAGUAGACUCAGUGCUAACCUCUGUUGUCUUCCUUUAGCUUUCGAAGCACUUCUAGGACUAUUGAACCUAAGGGCUGUUAGGAGUCCAGGGACAUUGCCCUCCUUCAUGAAGGGGAAGAAAGAGGGUGUUACUACAGGAGACAAACUAGGGUAAAAGAGUUGAAGUAGCUUGACAAAAUUGUUAAUACCUUCACAUAAGGGAUAGUAUACCUCUGGCUGCCAUCAAACUUCUUGUACUCAGACUGGUGAUUUACGGUUCGUGCUCAGACAAGGUGCAGUUCUUGAGUCAACUACCUGCAUAUUCCUUCAUCUCUUCACAAGUGUUUAGGUUAGCCUAUUUCUGCCCCUUAUUCUUCCACUCAGUAUUUUGGCAUAAUUUAUAAAUCCCCCCUCAUAACUAACGAGUCCAUAUAUUUUAAGAACUUAUUUUUAAGUUAGUAUUGAAAUGGUCAGAAUUUUCUGUGUAUUACUGUAGUAACUUUGGUUGUUAUCCUUUAGGUGAAGAUGAAAGCUGAGUGAAACCGCUGUGCUCAUCCAUGGGAAGUAAGCAUAACUUCUGGUAUUGUUCUGAGCGGGUGAAGUAAUGAAGGCUUCUGGGCACUGACCUUCACCUUUGAAUCGGUGAAUAUUGAGAAAUGGUUCAGGAGCCGAGCAUGAGCACAUCCAGCACCAUGCCCAGUGGUACGUGGAGGGACCAAGAAAUCAAGAGAAAUGAAGAUGAAGUCUGAAUGCAGGGAAGAGGAGCCAGGAACAUGCAACUUCCAAGAAUAAAAUAUUUAAUAUUUUUAUAAA